rnacentral:rRNA from 1 species
GACGAACGCUGGCGGCGUGCUUAACACAUGCAAGUCGACGGGGGCUCGGCAACGAGCAACCGGCGAACGGGUGCGUAACACGUGAGCAACCUGCCUUUGUGGUGGGGGAUAGCCGGGCUAACGCCCGGGUAAUACCGCAUACGGUUCUCGGAGGGGAGUCCCUUAGGGAAAGAAACCGUCCGGGGCACAGAGAGGGGCUCGCGGCCUAUCAGCUUGUUGGCGGGGUAAUGGCCCACCAAGGCGACGACGGGUAGCNGGUCUGAGAGGAUGGCCAGCCACAUUGGGACUGAGAGACGGCCCAGACUCCUACGGGAGGCAGCAGUGGGGAAUCUUGCGCAAUGGCCGAAAGGCUGACGCAGCGACGCCGCGUGUGGGAGGACGCC